CCUACGGGAGGCAGCAGUAAGGAAUAUUGGUCAAUGGACGCAAGUCUGAACCAGCUAUGCCGCGUGAAGGAUUAAGGUCCUCUGGAUUGUAAACUUCUUUUAUCUGGGACGAAAAAAGGUCUUUCUAGACCCCUUGACGGUACCAGAUGAAUAAGCACCGGCUAACUCCGUGCCAGCAGCCGCGGUAAUACGGAGGGUGCAAGCGUUAUCCGGAUUCACUGGGUUUAAAGGGUGCGUAGGCGGGUAGGUAAGUCAGUGGUGAAAUCCUGGAGCUCAACUCCAGAACUGCCAUUGAUACUAUCUAUCUUGAAUAUUGUGGAGGUAAGCGGAAUAUGUCAUGUAGCGGUGAAAUGCUUAGAUAUGACAUAGAACACCCAUUGCGAAGGCAGCUUACUACGCAUAUAUUGACGCUGAGGCACGAAAGCGUGGGGAUCAAACAGGAUUAGAUACCCUGGUAGUCCACGCCCUAAACCGAUGGAUACUCGACAUACGCGAUACACUGUGUGUGUCUGNGNGAAGANAUAGUAUCCACCNCGGAGUACGUUCGUCGAGAAGUAGAACGUACAAAUAGAAGUUAGUACGGACGUUGAGACGNGCCGACGGACGACGACGAGGGAGGUAGG
rnacentral:rRNA from 1 species